UACGAAGGGGGCUAGCGUUGCUCGGAAUCACUGGGCGUAAAGGGUGCGUAGGCGGGUUUUUAAGUCAGAGGUGAAAUCCCGAGGCUCAACCUCGGAACUGCAUUCGAUACUGCCGUGCUUGAGGACUGGAGAGGAGACUGGAAUUUACGGUGUAGCGGUGAAAUGCGUAGAUAUCGUAAGGAAGACCAGUGGCGAAGGCGGGUCUCGUGGACAGUUCCUGACGCUGAGGCACGAAGGCCAGGGGAGCAAACGGG
rnacentral:rRNA from 1 species